rnacentral:rRNA from 1 species
UAGGGAAUCUUCGGCAAUGGACGAAAGUCUGACCGAGCAACGCCGCGUGAGUGAAGAAGGGUUUCGGAUCGUAAAACUCUGUUGUUAGAGAAGAACAAGGACGUUAGUAACUGAACGUCCCCUGACGGUAUCUAACCAGAAAGCCACGGCUAACUACGUGCCAGCAGCCGCGGUAAUACGUAGGUGGCAAGCGUUGUCCGGAUUUAUUGGGCGUAAAGCGAGCGCAGGCGGUUUCUUAAGUCUGAUGUGAAAGCCCCCGGCUCAACCGGGGAGGGUCAUUGGAAACUGGGAGACUUGAGUGCAGAAGAGGAGAGUGGAAUUCCAUGUGUAGCGGUGAAAUGCGUAGAUAUAUGGAGGAACACCAGUGGCGAAGGCGGCUCUCUGGUCUGUAACUGACGCUGAGGCUCGAAAGCGUGGGGAGCAAACAGG